rnacentral:rRNA from 1 species
UACGAAGGGGGCUAGCGUUGCUCGGAAUCACUGGGCGUAAAGCGCACGUAGGCGGCUUGUUAAGUCAGGGGUGAAAUCCUGGAGCUCAACUCCAGAACUGCCUUUGAUACUGGCGAGCUUGAGUUCGGGAGAGGUGAGUGGAACUGCGAGUGUAGAGGUGAAAUUCGUAGAUAUUCGCAAGAACACCGGUGGCGAAGGCGGCCCACUGGCUCGACACUGACGCUGAGGUGCGAAAGCGUGGGGAGCAAACAGGG